rnacentral:rRNA from 1 species
AGCGAACGCUGGCGGCAGGCUUAACACAUGCAAGUCGAACGGUCCUUCGGGAUAGUGGCGGACGGGGGAGUAACACGUGGGAACGUACCCUUAGGUUCGGAACAACACAGGGAAACUUGCGCUAAUACCGGAUAAGCCCUUCGGGGGAAAGAUUUAUCGCCUUUGGAGCGGCCCGCGUCUGAUUAGCUUGUUGGUGAGGUAAUGGCUCACCAAGGCUACGAUCAGUAGCUGGUCUGAGAGGAUGGCCAGCCACACUGGGACUGAGACACGGCCCAGACUCCUACGGGAGGCAGCAGUGGGGAAUCUUGCGCAAUGGGCGAAAGCCUGACGCAGCCAUGCCGCGUGGAUGAUGAAGGUCUUAGGAUUGUAAAAUCCUUUCACCGGGGACGAUAAUGACGGUACCCGGAGAAGAAGCCCCGGCUAACUUCGUGCCAGCCGCCGCAGUAA